GACGAAGGGGGCUAGCGUUGUUCGGAAUUACUGGGCGUAAAGCGCGUGUAGGCGGUUGUUCAAGUCGGGUGUGAAAGCCUUGAGCUCAACUCAAGAAAUGCACUCGAUACCGGAUGACUUGAGGACCGGAGAGGAUAGUGGAAUUCCCAGUGUAGUGGUGAAAUACGUAGAGAUUGGGAAGAACACCAGUGGCGAAGGCGGCUAUCUGGACGGUUUCUGACGCUAAGACGCGAAAGCGUGGGGAGCAAACAGG
rnacentral:rRNA from 1 species